CUUACCAGUAAAUGUCCUUCAACCUGAUCUUUCUGUCCAAUAUGUCCUCCCAUUGGUUUCAGUGUUGCAUCAUUGUUGCUGGUCUGUUGUUUCAAUGUUGUGGGUAUCGCUACACUUUGAACAAUUCCUGCCAGGACUUGUGCAGGGAUUUUGUCUUUCCCGUCAAAGAUGGAGAUUGGUGCCCCCAUAAUUUCUCUUCACCUGUGUGUCUAAUAACCC